UACAGAGGGUGCGAGCGUUAAUCGGAAUUACUGGGCGUAAAGCGCAUGUAGGUUGAUCACUAAGUCUGAUGUGAAAGCCCUGGGCUUAACCUGGGAAUGGCGUUGGAAACUGGUAGUCUUGGGUCGGGCAGAGGGCAGUGGAAUUUCCGGUGUAGCGGUGAAAUGCGUAGAGAUCGGAAAGAACACCAGUGGCGAAGGCGGCUGCCUGGGCCCAGACUGACACUGAGGUGCGAAAGCGUGGGGAGCAACCAGG
rnacentral:rRNA from 1 species